rnacentral:misc_RNA from 1 species
AACGCACAUUGCGCCUUUUGGUAUUCCGAAAGGCAUGCCUGUUUGAGUGUCAUAAGACCUCUCAUACCUAGUUUUCUAUGUAUGAGCUUUGGACGUCUGCCAUGUUUUGGCUCGUCUUAAAUGUCUAAGUGGAAUGCGUAAUAAGUUUUCGCUCCCUCCACUCUAAUAACUUUUAGCUUGACCUCAAAUCAGGUAGGACUACCCGCUGAACUUAA